GGGAUGGUAGCUCAGUGGUAGAGCAUGUGCUUUGCAUGCAAAAGGUCCCAGGUUCAGUCUCUGGCCUCUCCCG